rnacentral:rRNA from 1 species
GACGAACGCUGGCGGCGUGCUUAACACAUGCAAGUCGUACGGUAAGGCCCUUUCGGGGGUACACGAGUGGCGAACGGGUGAGUAACACGUGAGUAACCUGCCCACAACUUUGGGAUAACGCUAGGAAACUGGUGCUAAUACUGGAUAUGUGCUCCUGCUGCAUGGUGGGGGUUGGAAAGCUCCGGCGGUUGUGGAUGGACUCGCGGCCUAUCAGCUUGUUGGUGGGGUAGUGGCCUACCAAGGCGGCGACGGGUAGCCGGCCUGAGAGGGUGACCGGCCACAUUGGGACUGAGAUACGGCCCAGACUCCUACGGGAGGCAGCAGUGGGGAAUAAUGCACAAUGGGCGCAAGCCUGAUGCAGCAACGCCGCGUGCGGGAUGACGGCCUUCGGGUUGUAAACCGCUUUCAGCAGGGACGAAGCUUUUUGUGACGGUACCUGCAGAAGAAGCACCGGCUAACUACGUG